rnacentral:lncRNA from 9 species
AUACUCCAAUCUAGCUAGAGAGCUCAAGAGCAAGAAACCUGAUUCACAUGAGUAAAACUUCUCUCUCAUCCAGUGAUAUUGCCUUGGGUGGUAUCUUGCCCCUGUGUUAACAGAGUGAAUACAAAGACUUUCAAAAUCUUUGUGUUUCAAAAACACAAAGGAUUUAAAAAUCCUGCCAACGCAACUUGAAACCAAGUUAAGGAUUUUCUUUGGGCCACGAGUGAAAGACGUGAAACAAUUUCUUUCCUGAGAUGAUGACCUACCCAAGAGAUUGCUGUAGAAAAUUACCUAUAAUGAAUGAAAAUCACAAAGAAUCUCAACCCAAAGUAGACCACGUGGACAACAACUUCGCAACUUGCCUUCUCAAGCUCUUAGUGAUGGUUCUUAUUUUUUAUGUAUUCCGGGAGGAAUGUUUUGGAAAUAAGAAAAGAAAAGGAAAUGAUCAACUUAAGGAAAAUGAUCAACUUGGGGAGGAAAAUGAUCAACUGAAGGAAAAUGAUCAACUUGGGGAGGAAAAUGAUCAACUUAGGAAGGAAAAUGGUAAACUUUUAUGACUCUUUACAAAAUACGAUCUCCCUAUUAACUGUUUCAUAAGAAGUCUUAUAAUACUCUUUUUGUUUUUCGGAUCAACUUAAGGAAAUAAAUGGUAAACUUUAAUGACCAUUUAUGUGAUUUUUCUAUAGCGAUUUUUCCUGCUUCCUUGCUUUUCCAUUCCUCCCUCUGUAUCAUUUUCUCUUUUGUGAUUUUUAUUCAUUCUUACUAUAUUACAUCUUCCAUUGCUUCUUUCUCUCUUUGUUCUUCUUCAUCAGUUAACUCACUUUUCCUACUGACCCUUCUCUUUAUCUAAUGCAUUAUUUUUCUUACUGUCUCCCUGAUGCUAACAAUAAUAACUCCUUCUCAUGGCUCUGAGAUGAAUGAAAUUCUAAUACGAAAAGAUAUUUGAAAGUGCUCUCAUAGUGCUUUUGUGUCCACAAGCUGAUUUUAAGAAAAAUUCAAAAGCUCUUCUAUGCAAGACACUUUUAAGAAGUACAGUCGAUUGUUCCUUGUAGAGCACACCAUUGUUCUCUACCUUGAGAUUGAAGCCUCACCUGGCUGGACCAGGAGUGGAGAUUUAUGGCAUAGUGAUAUGGAGACUUUGCUUUGCAUUUUAACAGACCUGGGUUCAAUCACUGAUCUGUUCAUUGACCAGCAGAAACUUCUCCAUGUUAUUGACCCCUUUUAUUCUCAGAUCUUUCUUUUGUGAACAGAGAGCACUAAUUUACAAUUAUUUUGUAAUAUUAUCAGUAUUACAUAAAGCCUUAGCAAAUAUUUAAGUCAUUGGAAACACCAAAUAAUUGUAGCUUCUUUUGCACAGAUGAUAUAGAGCAUGACAGCAUUGCAGAGGAUGAUAACCAUGAAUAUCAGCAUUCCAAAUUAGAUUAAAAACAAUACUUCAUGGGGGAUUUGAUAAUUUCCCUCUUGAAUUUUACCUGUAAAAUUAUUUGUCUAUUUAGCACGUAAUAUGUUUUCUUAUUUUCUUUCUUUUUUGGGGAAACAUGUGCUGGAGAAAACUGAGGAUUUUAAAACCUUGAUGAGUUAAUUUAUGUCUUUGUAUAUAAUCCUUCCAAGCAGUUUAAUUUUUCUUUUAAAAUAUUUACUUAAAAAAAAAA